rnacentral:rRNA from 1 species
CAACAGGGAUUGCCCUAGUAACGGCGAGUGAAGCGGCAACAGCUCAAAUUUGAAAUCUGGCGUCUUUGGCGUCCGAGUUGUAAUUUGCAGAGGGCGCUUUGGCAUUGGCAGCGGUCCAAGUUCCUUGGAACAGGACGUCACAGAGGGUGAGAAUCCCGUACGUGGUCGCUAGCCUUUACCGUGUAAAGCCCCUUCGACGAGUCGAGUUGUUUGGGAAUGCAGCUCUAAAUGGGAGGUAAAUUUCUUCUAAAGCUAAAUACUGGCCAGAGACCGAUAGCGCACAAGUAGAGUGAUCGAAAGAUGAAAAGCACUUUGGAAAGAGAGUUAAAAAGCACGUGAAAUUGUUGAAAGGGAAGCGCUUGCAGCCAGACUUGCCUGUAGUUGCUCAUCCGGGUUUCUACCCGGUGCACUCUUCUAUAGGCAGGCCAGCAUCAGUUUGGGCGGUUGGAUAAAGGUCUCUGUCAUGUACCUCCUUUCGGGGAGAACUUAUAGGGGAGACGACAUGCAACCAGCCCGGACUGAGGUCCGCGCAUCUGCUAGGAUGCUGGCGUAAUGGCUGUAAGCGGCCCGUCUUGAAACACGGACCAAGGAGUCUAACAUCUAUGCGAGUGUUUGGGUGUCAAGCCCGAGCGCGUAAUGAAAGUGAACGGAGGUGGGAACCUUUCGGGGUGCACCAUCGACCGAUCCUGAUGUCUUCGGAUGGAUUUGAGUAAGAGCAUAGCUGUUGGGACCCGAAAGAUGGUGAACUAUGCUUGAAUAGGGUGAAGCCAGAGGAAACUCUGGUGGAGGCUCGCAGCGGUUCUGACGUGCAAAUCGAUCGUCAAAUUUGGGCAUAGGGGCGAAAG